CGGACUAGGAACGCGUAGGACCUAGGAACGUCGGCGUUAACUAACACUAGUCAAGUACGUAGUACGUAGAAGGAGUCUAACUUCGGUAGAAGGUACUCGAAUGGCGGAACGGGUGAGUAACACGUAGAUAACCUAUCCUGAUGUGGGGGAUAACGACGGGAAACUGUCGCUAAUACCGCAUGUGCUUGAUGGCCUGGGAAUGUCGUCAAGGAAAGAUUUAUUGCAUUAGGAGGGGUCUGCGUCCGAUUAGCUAGAUGGCGAGGUAAUGGCUCACCAUGGCGAUGAUCGGUAGCUGGUCUGAGAGGAUGGUCAGCCACGCGGGAACUGAGAUACGGUCCCGACUCCUACGGGAGGCAGCAGUGAGGAAUAUUGGUCAAUGGGCGGAAGCCUGAACCAGCCAUGCCGCGUGCAGGAUGACGGCCCUACGGGUUGUAAACUGCUUUUGUACGGAACGAAAAAGCUCUCUCUAAUACAGGGGGUGAAUGACGGUACCGUAAGAAUAAGCACCGGCUAACUACGUG
rnacentral:rRNA from 1 species